CCUACGGGUGGCUGCAGUGGGGAAUAUUGCACAAUGGGCGCAAGCCUGAUGCAGCCAUGCCGCGUGUGUGAAGAAGGCCUUCGGGUUGUAAAGCACUUUCAGCGGGGAGGAAGGCGUUAAGGUUAAUAACCUUGGCGAUUGACGUUACCCGCAGACGAAGCACCGGCUAACUCCGUGCCAGCAGCCGCGGUAAUACGGAGGGUGCAAGCGUUAAUCGGAAUUACUGGGCGUAAAGCGCACGCAGGCGGUCUGUCAAGUCGGAUGUGAAAUCCCCGGGCUCAACCUGGGAACUGCAUUCGAAACUGGCAGGCUAGAGUCUUGUAGAGGGGGGUAGAAUUCCAGGUGUAGCGGUGAAAUGCGUAGAGAUCUGGAGGAAUACCGGUGGCGAAGGCGGCCCCCUGGACAAAGACUGACGCUCAGGUGCGAAAGCGUGGGGAGCAAACAGGAUUAGAUACCCGAGUAGUC
rnacentral:rRNA from 1 species